rnacentral:rRNA from 1 species
AUUGAACGCUGGCGGCAGGCUUAACACAUGCAAGUCGAGCGAGCGGCGGACGGGUGAGUAAUGUCUGGGAAACUGCCUGAUGGAGGGGGAUAACUACUGGAAACGGUAGCUAAUACCGCAUACCAUCAGAUGUGCUCAGAUGGGAUUAGCUAGUAGGUGGGGUAAUGGCUAACCUAGGCGACGAUCCCUUGCUGGUCUGAGAGGAUGACCAGCACGACGGGAACUGAGCCACGGUCCAGACGCCUACGGUAGGCCGCAGUGGGGAAUAUUGCACAAUGUGCGCAAGCCUGAUGCAGCCAUGCCGCGUGUGUGAAGAAGGCCUUCGGGUUGUAAAGCACUUUCAGCGAGGAGGCGUUACUCGCAGAAGAAGCACCGGCUAACUCCGUGCCAGCAGCCGCGGUAAUUC